GUCCUAGCUGUAAACUAUGUUCACUAGGUGUGGGGAGUAUCGACCCUUUCCGCGCCGACGCUAACGCAUUAAGUGAACCGCCUGGGAAGUACGGCCGCAAGGUUGAAACUCAAAGGAAUUGACGGGGGCCAGCACAAGCGGUGGAGCAUGUGGUUUAAUUCGACGCAACGCGAAGAACCUUACCUGGGCUUGAACUGUAGGAAGUAAAAUUCUGGAAACAGAAGAUGACCUGUAAAGUCAGGAGCCUAUAGAGGUGCUGCAUGGUUGUCGU
rnacentral:rRNA from 1 species